UUUAUUUGUUGUCAGAUCAGUUUUGUCCACUCACUCUGACGUGUUAAAUAUUUUCCCCUGGGCCCUCGUUUUUUUUUUUAAAAUGCCCAGUCUGCAGAGUUCGCGUGAGGUCCAGCAGGAGACGUCGAGGCAUAGUGACCCAGCUAUCAGCUACAUUUCGCCAGUAGGUUACCUGUUUAAUCUACUAGGAGUUUGUUAGCUUCCGUUGUAUUUUAUUUGAUUUUUAGUAGCUCUGAAUACUAUUGGAAAUCUUAUGUUUGUAUUCUGGCUACUUAUGGAUUGUAGCUGAAGAUUUAUUUUAUUGGAAUAAAAAGUGGUUCUUAAAUUCUUAAGUUAGGGUUGUCCAUUUUCGAGGGAGGUUUGCCGAGUUUCGGUAAAUUUUCCUUGGAGGUGGUCCCCGCAGGAUUUACCUCGGGUUUCAGGGUGAAAUUCGGGGUGGGUCCUGACAAUGGUUGUUCAUGAGAACUGUCUUUAGGGCUCGGUUCUUCAUAUACGUUGUUCUCGUAGAGGAGAAGAAAACUCUUAAGCGGGAUAUUUUAUUUCAACUAGGUUUCUUUAGUUUUGAUAUGAAUGUCUCUUCUGGUAAUUUUACCUGCCCACAAAGUCUUAUAUUAUUUGUAUAAAAAAAGAGAUGUGUAUCUAGUAAUUAAGGAUGUGUUAAUAAAAUUUCUCUUUUCUCUUGCAGACUAAAAACUAGUUUUUAUGUUGUUGUACUUCUACUAGUUUCUUAACUUUGAAAAAAAUUAUGUAUGUUCAAU
rnacentral:lncRNA from 1 species